rnacentral:lncRNA from 1 species
GCCGGUCCGAGCCCCUCCUCCCGUUUCCGCUGGCAGGAGCUGGAGCCGUGUCCUGCCGUACCUCCGCCGCUCCCCCUCCACUCGGCCCCAUCCGGCCCGGCCCAGGGACGCGCGGGUUUGAUCUGUGACUUUUUCAUUGGCUUACAUCGAAUUACCUCAAGUUCUCAGCCCAGUCUAAUUACUGUCAGUGCAACAGCUGCUCCCU